GAAGAAGAAGAAGAAGAAGAAGAUGGUGUGUAGUGAGGGAAAAGACUAGGCGGGGGCAGAAAGGGAGAUGUUUGUUGGUGAGUUGGUGGCCUCAUGUUAUUUAUGUUCCACCAGUUAGGGUUUCCGGCCAUUAUUUGCUGCAACGGCGGUGAGCUCUGCAAAACACCUCGAUUCAUUGCCUUCCUAAAGAAAACUGUUUCACUUUCGUUAUCUUUCUUGAUUAAUUCACCUUCUUUUCCCUUUCUUGAAGCUCCCAAACCGGGUCUUUGCAGACAAAGUUCGAGUGGACUCGCUAUUCUGGAUUAAGUAGAGAGGGAUCUCAAGUCCUGUUUGUUAAGACAAUUUAAAUCAUGGAGCUUUGAGAACCUUUGUCUUUCUUCUCUCUCAAUCUCUUUUCUUUCUUCAUUGCUUUACUUUUUCCCUCCUCUUUCUUCUCUUUCUUUUAUGUUUUUCUUUUUCUUUCCUGCUUUCUCUCUGCUU
rnacentral:misc_RNA from 1 species